GAUGAAGCUUCUAGCUUGCUAGAAGUGGAUUAGUGGCGCACGGGUGAGUAAGGUAUAGUUAAUCUGCCCUACACAAGAGGACAACAGUUGGAAACGACUGCUAAUACUCUAUACUCCUGCUUAACACAAGUUGAGUAGGGAAAGUUUUUCGGUGUAGGAUGAGACUAUAUAGUAUCAGCUAGUUGGURAGGUAAUGGCYYACCAAGGCUAUGACGCUUAACUGGUCUGAGAGGAUGAUCAGUCACACUGGAACUGAGACACGGUCCAGACUCCUACGGGAGGCAGCAGUAGGGAAUAUUGCGCAAUGGGGGAAACCCUGACGCAGCAACGCCGCGUGGAGGAUGACACUUUUCGGAGCGUAAACUCCUUUUCUUAGGGAAGAAUUCUGACGGUACCUAAGGAAUAAGCACCGGCUAACUCCGUGCCAGCAGCCGCGGUAAUACGGAGGGUGCAAGCGUUACUCGGAAUCACUGGGCGUAAAGGGCGCGUAGGCGGAUUAUCAAGUCUCUUGUGAAAUCUAAUGGCUUAACCAUUAAACUGCUUGGGAAACUGAUAGUCUAGAGUGAGGGAGAGGCAGAUGGAAUUGGUGGUGUAGGGGUAAAAUCCGUAGAUAUCACCAAGAAUACCCAUUGCGAAGGCGAUCUGCUGGAACUCAACUGACGCUAAGGCGCGAAAGCGUGGGGAGCAAACAGGAUUAGAUACCCUGGUAGUCCACGCCCUAAACGAUGUACACUAGUUGUUGGGAUGCUAGUCAUCUCAGUAAUGCAGCUAACGCAUUAAGUGUACCGCCUGGGGAGUACGGUCGCAAGAUUAAAACUCAAAGGAAUAGACGGGGACCCGCACAAGCGGUGGAGCAUGUGGUUUAAUUCGAAGAUACGCGAAGAACCUUACCUGGGCUUGAUAUCCUAAGAACCUUUUAGAGAUAAGAGGGUGCUAGCUUGCUAGAACUUAGAGACAGGUGCUGCACGGCUGUCGUCAGCUCGUGUCGUGAGAUGUUGGGUUAAGUCCCGCAACGAGCGCAACCCACGUAUUUAGUUGCUAACGGUUCGGCCGAGCACUCUAAAUAGACUGCCUUCGUAAGGAGGAGGAAGGUGUGGACGACGUCAAGUCAUCAUGGCCCUUAUGCCCAGGGCGACACACGUGCUACAAUGGCAUAUACAAUGAGACGCAAUACCGCGAGGUGGAGCAAAUCUAUAAAAUAUGUCCCAGUUCGGAUUGUUCUCUGCAACUCGAGAGCAUGAAGCCGGAAUCGCUAGUAAUCGUAGAUCAGCCAUGCUACGGUGAAUACGUUCCCGGGUCUUGUACUCACCGCCCGUCACACCAUGGGAGUUGAUUUCACUCGAAGCCGGAAUACUAAACUAGUUACCGUCCACAGUGGAAUCAGCGACUGGGG
rnacentral:rRNA from 1 species